GCAAGUCGAACGGACAAUCACCCUUCGGGGUGUGCGUUAGUGGCGGACGGGUGAGUAACGCGUGAGGAACCUGCCUUGCAGUGGGGAAUAACAGCCGGAAACGGCUGCUAAUACCGCAUGAUGCAUAGUUGUCGCAUGGCAAUUAUGCCAAAGAUUUAUCGCUGUGAGAUGGCCUCGCGUCUGAUUAGCUUGUUGGCGGGGUAACGGCCCACCAAGGCGACGAUCAGUAGCCGGACUGAGAGGUUGGCCGGCCACAUUGGGACUGAGACACGGCCCAGACUCCUACGGGAGGCAGCAGUGGGGAAUAUUGGGCAAUGGGCGCAAGCCUGACCCAGCAAUGCCGCGUGAAGGAAGACGGUUUUCGGAUUGUAAACUUCUUUUAACAGGGACGAUAAUGACGGUACCUGUUGAAUAAGCUCCGGCUAACUACGUGCCAGCAGCCGCGGUAAUACGUAGGGAGCGAGCGUUAUCCGGAUUUACUGGGUGUAAAGGGCGUGUAGGCGGGACAACAAGUCAGAUGUGAAAGCACGGGGCUCAACUCCGUGUCUGCAUUUGAAACUGUAGUUCUUGAGUGCUGGAGAGGCUAACGGAACUCCUAGUGUAGCGGUGAAAUGCGUAGAUAUUAGGAAGAACACCAGUGGCGAAGGCGGUUAGCUGGACAGUAACUGACGCUGAGGCGCGAAAGCGUGGGUAGCAAACAGGAUUAGAUACCCUGGUAGUCCACGCAGUAAACGAUGGAUACUAUGUGUGCGGGGACUGACCCCCUGCGUGCCGCAGCAAACGCAAUAAGUAUCCCACCUGGGGAGUACGAUUCGCAAGGUUGAAACUCAAAAGGAAUUGACGGGGGCCCGCACAAGCGGUGGAGCAUGUGGUUUUAAUUCGAAGCAACGCGAAGAACCUUACCAGGUCUUGACAUCCCGAUGCCAGAUGUAGAGAUACAUCCUUUCUUCGGAACAUCGGUGACAGGUGGUGCAUGGUUGUCGUCAGCUCGUGUCGUGAGAUGUUGGGUUAAGUCCCGCAACGAGCGCAACCCCUAUUGUUAGUUGCUACGCAAGAGCACUCUAGCGAGACUGCCGUUGACAAAACGGAGGAAGGUGGGGACGACGUCAAAUCAUCAUGCCCCUUAUGACCUGGGCCACACACGUGCUACAAUGGCGUAUAACAGAGGGAGGCAAAGCCGCGAGGCAGAGCAAACCCCCAAAAUACGUCUCAGUUCGGAUUGCAGGCUGCAACUCGCCUGUAUGAAGUUGGAAUCGCUAGUAAUCGCGAAUCAGCAUGUCGCGGUGAAUACGUUCCCGGGCCUUGUACACACCGCCCGUCACACCAUGAGAGUCGGGAAC
rnacentral:rRNA from 1 species